UCUGGGAUAGCUCAAUUGUUAAAGCACGAGACUCUUAAUUUCAGGGUCAUGGGUUUGAGCCCCACAUUGGGAA